rnacentral:sRNA from 1 species
CUUAGUCUUUUUCUUGUCUUCGAUAGGGUCAGACCUUAUCAUAUCCUAGCAUAUUCGAAUGGUUAACAAGCGCAAUCAAGCUAUCCCUAGACAAUAGGUUCAACAACAAAUCAAUUCACUUCUGUGAUAGAAAUCCUCAAGCAAAGCUAGCCCAGACUAAUUCCCAUUAACGCAAUCUAACUAUGCAGGCAAUAAGAACAGACUGAUAAAGUCAAUAAACGCUCUAAACGCCCAAUCCCUUGGGAUAGAGACGAAUAUCUCAGGAACUAGUGGAUCAAGCAUUCCAUCGAACACCUUCUGGGUGCGAGAAUGCUUGGGAUCGAAUUCCAGUUGAUCAGAAAGAAAUAAGCAGUAAACGCAACUAGUCCUGAAGGGAUUCAAUCAAUUCUAAAACUUAACCAUUCUACAGACUACGGAUUCCACAACUACUCUAUCCCAUCCCUAAGAAUUCUAUGUCACUACUCAGACAACAUGCUCAAAGACAUAAACGCAGAUAAAUGAUAAUAUUGCAUAAGUAAAGAGAUAAAGAGUAGAGAAACAGGAUGAUAGAUAAAAUCAAAUGCAGAAUCUGAAUAACUUGGAAAAAUCUCGAAUUAUAGGUUGUAGAAGCAAAAGCGGCGCAGAAGAGUAAAAUAGAAAAUAAAACUGAAACAAAAACUCAAUGUCGACUAGAUGUCUCAGGAAAGAACCCUAAGACAUCUAUUUAUACAAAACAAAAUGAUAGUAGACGGGCCAAUAACCUAAUCGCCCGACCAAUAGAGUGAUAAUGGGCCGAGAUGGGCUUUGUGAUCCGAUGGAGGUCCAGGCCGCUUCCAAACACUUUGUCUUCUCCUCUUCUCUUCCUUGUGCUCAGCUUGUCUGGUUGAGUGCGGAUUUGAGUAGACUGUGAAGACGUGAUCGAGUGUCCGGUCGAGUGAUGGUGAUGGUGGUGAGUGAUGAUACUCGACCAGGGGGUCGACUAACUUGGUAGAGUGAAUGGCCGAGUGUGGUCAGGUGGUGUGGCGAAGUGAUACUCGACCAGGGGGUCGAUGGCGUCAUCGAGUAGCCUGAGCUGAGGAUACUCGACU